AGAGACAAUCUAGGGCUGUUGAAAGAGGCCUUGACUGUCAUGAUUCCUGGGAUGGUGCCCUAGCGCUGGCACUUAGUGACCAUGAGACCGUGGGUAAGAUGCAAAUGUGGCUUUCCUGGCCUGAAACUGACAAGGGUGAGACAGAAAAGUUGUGAAAGUCACAUCGUGGAGCUGACAGGCAAGAAUAAACCUGAGCUUUGCCAUCACUUAUGCUGUCACAAAGGAAUGCUGUGUGGAAAUUUUCCCCCAGUUACUGAGCGAAGACUCCCAGGCGUGGAUGUGUGGAUUUUCUCAGAGGUCACCAGGCAUCCUAAUCCGAUGUCAUUGCCUGUGGCUUUGAGAAGGGAUGUGGAGGCAGGAAGUCUUUGAGUUUGGUGGAAAAGUCCUUUUAAGUCACCACAGAAAUGAGGUGGGAGCUGCCUUCAGCAUCCCAGCUGGUCAUGGACUACCGAGAACCUAUGGGACGGAGUGGGCAGGCCUGUGUCCUUUCCUGCAGGAGGGACAUGGGAAAGAGCUGUGUGUGCCUUGGAUGUCCAGAGCCCUGUCAACCCUGUCUUCCUCUCUCUCUUGCUCCUUACCUUACCAUCAGAAUGGAUGAUAGUUAACCAUAAUGUGUUUUUAACAUAAGAAAUUAAACAUUACAGAUAGUGUGCCCUUCCAUUGGUCCUUCCCUACUUCUUGAAUCUUUCAUUCCAAGAGACUCUUGUUUAUAAAUGGUCUGUUCUAUUAAUAAUUCUGGGUGAUAGGUCUGUUAGGGGGAGAAAGAGAAGGACUGGGCGGCGGUGGUGGAAAGAUAAGAAGUAUAAAAUAUAAGUGUCAUGGUUUAUGUUUGUGUCCCCCAGGCCUCAUGAGUUUGCAUUGUUCAUAUGUGAUGGUUCAUUGUCUAGUGCUUGGAUUGAUGGUGUCAGUGCUCCACCCACAAAGGGGUGGAGCCAGGAUGUGAUGUAAUGGCAGGAAGAAGGUGUGUCUCUCUCUUUGCUAGUUCCUGUUUGCUGCUGGCGGCCGCCAUGAACUGCAGCCCAGCCAUGCCUGCCUGUCUUGGAGACAACUGAGUGUGGACUAAAACCUCCAAAAACUGUAAGAAAUAAACCUUUCCUUUCCCAACUUUGGGCUUCAGGUAUUUUGUCUCAGCGAUGAGCAUAAAGUAACUAAGACAGAAAUUUGGUACCAAGGAGUGCGGGCGUUUGCUGUGACUAUACCUGGCUAUGUUUUUCAAGAGGCUUUGGAAAUGGCUUAUGGGUGGAGUUUGGAAAGGUUUGGACAUGUCGCCUGGAUGUAUAGAGCUGGAGCAGCUUAGGCUGUUCUGUAGAGGAGAUUCUGGUCAGAGCUCAAGAGACCAGAAAGCUGAUAGAAAGCCUGAUGGUAAAGACCAGGCUUGGGAGGUUUUGCUGGAAAGGACUGCAUUGGUUGUUGGAUUCCACAUGAUGUGUGUUAUGGCUUGGCAGAAAGUGUGUCUGCAUUUUGCUCCUGCCCAGAGACUUUGCCUGAGACUUUCACAAAGGGCAAUGGACUGAUUUAUCUUGAAAAAGAAAUUAAAAAGCAAUCAAACAUUGAGGCUGUGGCAUGGCUAUUGUUGGGGCUUUUAGCCAGCUUUAUGUUUCAAAUCAGGAGCAAAGAGCCUAGCAGGAUAAUUUCCAAUGCUGUUUGACCCGAAGGAAGAUUCUAGGAAGGGUGUGGAUUGUAAAGACAGAGUUGAGAUUUUGAUUCCUGAGGAGAAACAGAGAGAUAAGAAAGAUGGCCCCGGGGCAUCCCAGGAAGCAAGUCCCCACCCUGUGCAGCCUCACAGCAAAGAUGAAAAAUUUUGCUCAGAGGAAAAAUCUACAGAGUGCCAUGCUCCAGAAUGGUGACAGAGGCCACAUGAGGUUCCAGAAUGUCGACAGAGGCCAUGUGAGGUUCCAGAAUGGCGACAGAGGCCACAUUAAUUUCCAGAAAGGCGGCAACAUAGAGAAGCUUUUCAUCACAAUCAGGUAAACAGAGCCCUGCGAUCCAGGCAAUUGACCCCUACAGCCAAGAGAGAGAAAAGCGUGGCUACUGCUUCAGCUAGCAGCAAACCUUGGUGGCAUCCACAAGGUGCUGAUUUUAGGUGCAAGGAAAAUGCACGAAUUCUAAGGGUAAGACGGCUUCCACCUCGAUUGCAAAGGGCCUGGGAGGCCAAGCAGAUGUAAGGGUGAAGCUGAAGGUGCAGUGGAGACCCCAGAAGUUUGGAAAAGCCAGGAAUGUGGAUGAUCCAAGGGAAGCAGCAAAAAGCGAGUAGAGAGGAUUUAAGAGAAAAGCUGUGGGAGUUGAAAUCGCUGGAAGUGCCCUGGGGGUGGAAUCACCCAAGGCUUUUGGAACUUGCAACCAGAUUGCUUCAGAUGCUGCAUGUAGAACUCUAGGACUUAAUGUUUGCCCUGCUGGAUGUUGGAAUUGCUUUGUUUCGAAUGGUUUCUAUUCUCCUGUUUGUAACUUUUGGAAUGGUAAUGUUUAUCUUGUGCCUUUGCAUUUCAGAAAUGUUUAACCUUGUUUCUUUUGUACAGGGGUUUAUAGUUAAGAGUUUGCCAUAGAUCUUGGAGGAGACUUGGGACUUGUACUUUUCAGCAAUGUUGAAGCUGUUAGGACUUUGGCAAAUCUUGGAGGUGGACUAAAUGUCAUUUGUAUAAAGGAUGUACAUGAGUCCUAGGGGCCAGGGGUGGAAUGUCAUGGUUUAUGUUUGUAUCCCCCAGGCCUCAUGAGUUUGCAUUGUUCAUUUGUGAUAGUUCAUUGUAUAGUGCUUGGAUUGCUGGUGUCAGUGCUCCACCCACAUAGGGCUGGAGCCAGGAUGUGAUGUAAUGGCAGGAAGAAGGUGUGUUUUUCUUUUUGCUGGUUCGAGUUUGCUGCUGGCGGCCGCCAUGAACUGCAGCCCAGCCAUGCCUGCCUGUCUUGGAGAUAACUGAGUGUGGACUAAAACCUCCAAAAACUGUAAGAAAUAAAUCUUUCCUUUCCCAACUUUGGGCUUCAGGUAUUUUGUCUCAGCGAUGAGCAUAAAGUAACUAAGACAUUAAGUAACCUUUGUUUCGGGAAUGUGGGGAGACACACCCCCGACCCCUCUGGGGUGCAGCAUCUCCACCCUGGGGCUGCCGAUCUCUCUCUCUGGAACACGUGGAGUGAGGCACAUAA